GAUGAACGCUAGCUACAGGCUUAACACAUGCAAGUCGAGGGGCAGCGGUAUCGAAAGCUUGCUUUCGGUAGCCGGCGACCGGCGCACGGGUGAGUAACGCGUAUCGAACCUGCCUCAUACUCGGGAAUAGCCUUGCGAAAGUAAGAUUAAUGCCCGGUGUUUUCAGAGUCCCGCAUGAGGCUUUGAACAAAGAUUUAUCGGUAUGAGAUGGCGAUGCGUCCCAUUAGCUUGUUGGCGGGGUAACGGCCCACCAAGGCAUCGAUGGGUAGGGGUUCUGAGAGGAAGGUCCCCCACAUUGGAACUGAGACACGGUCCAAACUCCUACGGGAGGCAGCAGUGAGGAAUAUUGGUCAAUGGGCGGAAGCCUGAACCAGCCAAGUAGCGUGCAGGAAGACGGCCCUCCGGGUUGUAAACUGCUUUUAGUUGGGAAUAAAACGGGGCUCGUGAGCCCCCUUGCAUGUACCAUCAGAAAAAAGACCGGCUAAUUCCGU
rnacentral:rRNA from 1 species